rnacentral:sRNA from 1 species
CAUUUAGUUGCGCACAGGACACCGCUGUAUGACUUCCACCUGGCCCACGGCGGGAAAAUGGUGGCGUUUGCGGGUUGGAGUCUGCCAGUGCAGUACCGGGACAGUCACACUGACUCGCACCUGCACACACGCCAGCACUGCUCGCUCUUUGACGUGUCUCAUAUGCUGCAGACCAAGAUACUUGGUAGUGACCGGGUGAAGCUGAUGGAGAGUCUAGUGGUUGGAGACAUUGCAGAGCUAAGACCAAACCAGGGGACACUGUCGCUGUUUACCAACGAGGCUGGAGGCAUCUUAGAUGACUUGAUUGUAACCAGUACUUCUGAGGGCCACCUGUAUGUGGUGUCCAACGCUGGCUGCUGGGAGAAAGAUUUGGCCCUCAUGCAGGACAAGGUCAGGGAGCUUCAGAACCAGGGCAGAGAUGUGGGCCUGGAGGUGUUGGAUAAUGCCCUGCUAGCUCUGCAAGGCCCCACUGCAGCCCAGGUACUACAGGCCGGCGUGGCAGAUGACCUGAGGAAACUGCCCUUCAUGACCAGUGCUGUGAUGGAGGUGUUUGGCGUGUCUGGCUGCCGUGUGACCCGCUGUGGCUACACAGGAGAGGAUGGUGUGGAGAUCUCGGUGCCGGUAGCGGGGGCAGUUCACCUGGCAACAGCUCUUCUGAAAAACCCAGAGGUGAAGCUGGCAGGGCUGGCAGCCAGGGACAGCCUGCGCCUGGAGGCAGGCCUCUGCCUGUACGGGAAUGACAUUGAUGAACACACUACACCUGUGGAGGGCAGCCUCAGUUGGACACUGGGCCUGGGCGACAGAGUGACUC